rnacentral:rRNA from 1 species
UCUGGGACAAGCCCUGGAAACGGGGUCUAAUACCGGAUAACACUCCUGCCCGCAUGGGUGGGGGUUGAAAGCUCCGGCGGUGAAGGAUGAGCCCGCGGCCUAUCAGCUUGUUGGUGAGGUGAAAGCUCACCAAGGCGACGACGGGUAGCCGGCCUGAGAGGGCGACCGGCCACACUGGGACUGAGACACGGCCCAGACUCCUACGGGAGGCAGCAGUGGGGAAUAUUGCACAAUGGGCGAAAGCCUGAUGCAGCGACGCCGCGUGAGGGAUGACGGCCUUCGGGUUGUAAACCUCUUUCAGCAGGGAAGAAGCGAAAGUGACGGUACCUGCAGAAGAAGCGCCGGCUAACUACGUGCCAGCAGCCGCGGUAAUACGUAGGGCGCAAGCGUUGUCCGGAAUUAUUGGGCGUAAAGAGCUCGUAGGCGGUCUGUCACGUCGGAUGUGAAAGCCCGGGGCUUAACCCCGGGUCUGCAUUCGAUACGGGCAGACUAGAGUGUGGUAGGGGAGAUCGGAAUUCCUGGUGUAGCGGUGAAAUGCGCAGAUAUCAGGAGGAACACCGGUGGCGAAGGCGGAUCUCUGGGCCAUUACUGACGCUGAGGAGCGAAAGCGUGGGGAGCGAACAGGAUUAGAUACCCUGGUAGUCCACGCCGUAAACGGUGGGAACUAGGUGUUGGCGACAUUCCACGUCGUCGGUGCCGCAGCUAACGCAUUAAGUUCCCCGCCUGG